rnacentral:rRNA from 1 species
GAGAAGGCUAUGUUGGCCGGGCGACGGUUGUCCCGGUUUAAGCGUGUAGGCUGGUUUUCCAGGCAAAUCCGGAAAACCAAGGCUGAGGCGUGAUGACGAGGCACUACGGUGCUGAAGCGACAAAUGCCCUGCUUCCAGGAAAAGCCUCUAAGCAUCAGGUAACAUUAAAUCGUACCCCAAACCGACACAGGUGGUCAGGUAGAGAAUACCAAGGCGCUUGAGAGAACUCGGGUGAAGGAACUAGGCAAAAUGGUGCCGUAACUUCGGGAGAAGGCACGCUGAUAUGUAGGUGAAGCGACUUGCUCGUGGAGCUGAAAUCAGUCGAAGAUACCAGCUGGCUGCAACUGUUUAUUAAAAACACAGCACUGUGCAAACACGAAAGUGGACGUAUACGGUGUGACGCCUGCCCGGUGCCGGAAGGUUAAUUGAUGGGGUUAGCGGUAACGCGAAGCUCUUGAUCGAAGCCCCGGUAAACGGCGGCCGUAACUAUAACGGUCCUAAGGUAGCGAAAUUCCUUGUCGGGUAAGUUCCGACCUGCACGAAUGGCGUAAUGAUGGCCAGGCUGUCUCCACCCGAGACUCAGUGAAAUUGAACUCGCUGUGAAGAUGCAGUGUACCCGCGGCAAGACGGAAAGACCCCGUGAACCUUUACUAUAGCUUGACACUGAACAUUGAGCCUUGAUGUGUAGGAUAGGUGGGAGGCUUUGAAGUGUGGACGCCAGUCUGCAUGGAGCCGACCUUGAAAUACCACCCUUUAAUGUUUGAUGUUCUAACGUUGGCCCGUAAUCCGGGUUGCGGACAGUGUCUGGUGGGUAGUUUGACUGGGGCGGUCUCCUCCUAAAGAGUAACGGAGGAGCACGAAGGUUGGCUAAUCCUGGUCGGACAUCAGGAGGUUAGUGCAAUGGCAUAAGCCAGCUUGACUGCGAGCGUGACGGCGCGAGCAGGUGCGAAAGCAGGUCAUAGUGAUCCGGUGGUUCUGAAUGGAAGGGCCAUCGCUCAACGGAUAAAAGGUACUCCGGGGAUAACAGGCUGAUACCGCCCAAGAGUUCAUAUCGACGGCGGUGUUUGGCACCUCGAUGUCGGCUCAUCACAUCCUGGGGCUGAAGUAGGUCCCAAGGGUAUGGCUGUUCGCCAUUUAAAGUGGUACGCGAGCUGGGUUUAGAACGUCGUGAGACAGUUCGGUCCCUAU